rnacentral:rRNA from 1 species
GACGAACGCUGGCGGCGUGCUUAACACAUGCAAGUCGAGCGGUAAGGCCCUUUCGGGGGUACGACGAGCGGCGAACGGGUGAGUAACACGUGGGUGACCUGCCCUUAGCUCUGGGAUAAGCCUGGGAAACUGGGUCUAAUACCGGAUAUGACUCCAUGACGCAUGUUGUGGGGUGGAAAGCCUUGUGCGGCUAGGGAUGGGCCCGCGGCCUAUCAGCUUGUUGGUGGGGUGAUGGCCACCAAGGCGACGACGGGUAGCCGGCCUGAGAGGGCGACCGGCCACACUGGGACGUGAGACACGGCCCAGACUCCUACGGGAGGGCAGCAGUGGGGAAGUCUUGCGCAAUGGGCGAAAGCCUGACGCAGCGACGCCGCGUGAGGGAUGACGGCCUC